CGGUUAAAAAGCUCGUAGUUGGAUCUCGGCGGGCAGGGGGCGGUCCGUUAUUUGACGCGACUGCCCCAUUUGCCCGUGUUUCUUCGGCAGAACUCCCGGGGUGCUCUUCGCCGAGUGUCCCGUUGGGGGCUGCCAGGUUUACUUUGAAAAAAUUAGAGUGCUCCAAGCAGGCUCGACACGCCUGAAUAUUCGUGCAUGGAAUAAUGGAAUAGGACGUCGUUCCUAUUUUGUUGGUUUUCGGGAAUCGACGUAAUGAUUAAUAGGGACAGCCGGGGGCAUUAGUAUUCAGACGACAGAGGUGAAAUUCUUGGACCGUCUGGCGACUCACUGCUGCGAAAGCGUUUGCCAAGUAUGUUUUCAUUAAUCAAGAACGAAAGUUAGAGGUUCGAAGGCGAUCAGAUACCGCCCUAGUUCUAACCAUAAACGAUGCCAGCUAGCGAUCCGCAGACGUUUUUAUUGUAGGCUCUGCGGGAAGCUUCCGGGAAACCAAAGCGUUUGGGUUCCGGGGGAAGUAUGGUUGCAAAGCUGAAACUUAAA
rnacentral:rRNA from 1 species